rnacentral:rRNA from 1 species
UACGUAGGUGGCGAGCGUUGUCCGGAUUUACUGGGCGUAAAGAGCGCGCUAGGCGGUCGUGCAAGUCGCGUGUGAAAGCCCCCGGCUCAACUGGGGAGGGUCACGCGAUACUGCUCGACUUGGAAGGCAGGAGAGGGAAGUGGAAUUCCCGGUGUAGUGGUGAAAUGCGUAGAUAUCGGGAGGAACACCAGUGGCGAAGGCGACUUCCUGGCCUGUUCUUGACGCUGAGGCGCGAAAGCUAAGGGGAGCAAACGGGG